AUGAGGCCGCCGGUGCCCUUGCCCCAGGCGGAGGUAGCAGGAGGCGGCGGGGCCAGCGCCGGCCGCGGCCUCCCCUACCGCUCCUCUGUUUCCUGUCGGGGGAGACGGGAAGAAGAAGAAGAAGACAGGAGCGAGGCGGGCCCCUCCUCUGCCGUGGGCCCCACGAGUCAGCCACAGCGGGCGUUGACCUGGAUGUGGCAUCUUCAGCCCUGUUCAGAACUUCCCCGCUCCGUGGAGUUGGGGAGUUGGGUUUUGGCAGCUCCAUCAAAUUCAGGUAAAGUAUGGUCCGCUCCCGGAGCGGAGUUCCAGGAGCGGAGAGAAACCGAACGCAACCUUCAUAUGUCCAUAUCACGAGUCUUUGCCAAGUUGCAUCCCAUUUCAUCACUCCAUGUGAUGAGGACAUGA
rnacentral:rRNA from 1 species